GAAAAUAAUGUCUCAUUUGUGAGAUUGAAAAUUUGAAAACAUUCUUAUUAUGGUAGCAAACUUCAAAUAUGUUCAGGCUGCCUCUCAGCGGUUUUACCUUCAACUUUUUGUAUCAUGGUAUGGAA